rnacentral:rRNA from 1 species
UACGUAGGGUGCGAGCGUUGUCCGGAAUUAUUGGGCGUAAAGAGCUCGUAGGCGGUCUGUCGCGUCGGUCGUGAAAACUUGGGGCUUAACCCUGAGCUUGCGGUCGAUACGGGCAUGACUGGAGUUCGGCAGGGGAGACUGGAAUUCCUGGUGUAGCGGUGAAAUGCGCAGAUAUCAGGAGAACAGCCGGUGGCGAAGGCGGGGUCUCUGGGCCGAUACUGACGCUGAGGAGCGAAAGCGUGGGGAGCGAACAGGAAUAGAUACCCCGG